GAGUGGCUUCUUGUGUGCCUACUCUGAGGUCACAUCUGAUCCCUACGCAUGCUCCAGGCUGCAGGACGGGCUGGGCCUUGACCCCAGGCGGGCUUGAGGGCGCCCAGAGUCUGGCAGUCUCCUCCUGUCCAUCUCUGAGAAUCUAAGAGCCGCUACCUCAAAGAUGAGGUAUUGAAGCCAACGCAGUACCUCUUGGAGAGACUGGAAGGAGUUGAUACUUUUGUUCCAGAAAGGCCCUUAAACUUUUCUUUGAGGCACAAAAUGACAAAACUGAAAAUGGCGAUAAUAAUGGCCGCCACCACAACUAAUAUUUACUGGGUGCUUACUCAGAUGGGGCAGCUGAGGCACAGAGAGGAGAAAACUGACCUCAGAUCAUGCAACUUGGCAGCAGCAGACCAGGAUUCGAUCCCGGGGAGUCAGGCUCCACACCAGGUCCUUGCUAGGACUUCAUGUGUGACU